UUUCUGCCCGGACCUCUUUAUAAGCAGUACCAGGUUAGUAAACAAGUCUUGCGUUUAUCUUUCUCUGUUGUUGGCUGUUGCGGGUAAAGUGAUGUGUGAUUUUGACGCGUACGUUCUAAAGAGGCUCUGCCGCUGAAAACAAAAUUUUUAUUUUUUUAUUUUUUUUUUUUACUUUUAGUUAGUUUUGUAUCCCUAAAUAGAGCUUCAGGACUCCUGCAGCAGUCAUUCCGUUGUUAAAGAAGCGAUGCACCGCUCAGUCUUCUGCAUGUAUCCCAGACCGUUAAUGCAGCAGUCAUGAAGGAGUUUUUGAGGAAAAUCCACAACUCCCUUUUGAAGAUAGCUCUGUUUCCAAGCACACUGACCCAAACAGGUCCGCGACCAGCAGCCUCGGAGGUGUUAACCUGCCACCUGCAGCAGCGCAGACUCCCAGCCUGGACUUCCUUCUGUGUUCGCUACAGCUCCGUCCACAAUGACCAGUUUGGAUUAUCGAGCUUUAACUGGAGGGUUCAGGGCUCCAACUACCACAUCCUGAGAACAGGCUGCUUCCCCUUCGUCAAGUACCACUGCACCAAAGCACCUCCACAGAACCUGGACGUUGAAGACACGUUUUUCUCCCUGUUGAAAGUUAUUAAUCUGGGAAUCCCUUGUUUGGCUUAUGGGAUCGGGUGCUGGAUGGUGAUAGGAGCUGCAGAAACUGUCCACACUAGUGUUGGACCUGUCACGGUCUACUUUGCCUACAAAGAAGAAGAAGGGCUUCACCUUUGAGUCACUCUAAACUGCGGGGGAGGCCACCCCUUGAGCUGGGACGGAGGCUUAGCAUUACAUAUUGAGCCUUAGUCACCACCACUGCAGAGCUCCGGGAGUUGACGUCACUUCUCCCGGCAUGCAACAGUUCAAAUCGAAACGGUGCCAUAUUGGCAUGCAGAAGCCCGCAGCUGGACUAUUUGUUAUUGUCAGAAAACUCAAUCAAAUGGGAAAUAUGGUAGAUUCCUGUUGUACCCCAGGAUGCCAUUACAGACGCGGACGACAUAACGGAUGAGCCAUCUACAGGAUUCCCCAAGAUCCGGAGCGCUGCAAACGUUGGAUCAUUGUAAUAAAACGCUAGUGACCGGGCUAAAAUGAAACUGUGGGAUCCCGAGAGUAAAGGUUUUCACUUAUUCAGCGACCGCUUCAUAUCAGGUACUUAAACCAACGUUUCCUCAACUGUGUAUGGUAUUUAUUUUAAAUGCUUUUAUUACGAUUCUUUGUGGGCUUCCUAAGCUUAUUUUGGCGUGGCUUUUUCUGUCUUAUUACUCAUAGUAACAAGUAAACAUCACGUAAAACGGUGCCUCGUGAUUCUGCGUGCUGCCGUUUCCGUUAUGAUCACAGCAAUUAACCGGCUAAGCUGUAUUUCAUUUUUAAGCAAUGGUUGAUCAAGUGUCAGAUCACACAUAAAACGCACUUUGGAUUGCUAUUAUCUGUCUCACCGAGACAGAUCUCAGACAGAUCCUGAGACGCUCCUGCCUGACAUAUUUAUUUUAUUCACGGAAAAAAACCAGACUAGUGAUUUCUCUUGGCGUUCAGUUUAUACAUUCAAACUGCACAGCACUCUAUUUAAACUACUUACAUGUAAAUCUGUUAUUUGUUCAUCCAUCCAUUUUCAUCCGCUUAUCCGGAGUCGGGUUACGGGGGCAGUAGCGUCGAGAGGCCCAGACUUCCCUCUCCCCAGCCACCUGGGCCAGCUCCUCCGGGGAAAUCCCAAGGGGUUCCCCGGCCAGGUCCGGUAAGAAGUCCGCUCCGACAGCUUCUGGCGUUUUUUAAAAAGUAUCCCAGGGGCACGGUAAGGGUCGGAGAUGUUUAGUCUAUUUAACUUCUGACUAUAUAAAACAAUUUCUUUGGUUUUAAAGUGUGAAGUAAACUCCGACGAAGUAAAAUCCAAGCUGAUCCCGUUCAUGUUCAUGUUUACGAUCCGUGUUUGUUUACCUUUUUUCCUGCCAAUAUGGCGUCUACUAACUGAGAGUCACGUGGGGUCCGGAGCUCUAUAGGUGCUGAACACAGGGCUGGAAGACUAUUGUUGCAUUCAGCCUGUGAAUCUCAAAGUGAUUGGUUCUAUUUCAAAUUGAAGAAGUACGUUCCUUAGUGGACCUCCUCUUUAUGAAUCAUUCUUGUGUAUGUGUUCACCCCAGGAAUGACAACAGGCUCCAUUUUUCAUUUUUCUUCAAACCCCCUUUGUAUUGGUUUUAACUUUACACUUAAAAAAAUUACUCCAGAUAACGGUUUAUAAUAGAGGUGUGGAUUGGCAAGUAUCUGGCAAUCUGAUAUGAAACACAAUACAGGGGAUGCAAUAUGAUAUAUUUAGAUACUAAAAGCCAGACCAUAUUUGCAAUUUUUAGACUAAAUUUAAUUGGAAAACUCAGGCCAGAUUCAAGACAUGCUCUACCAUAAGGAAUGCGAUAAAACUACUGCCACCUAGUAGUCAGAAUUUGAAUUGCACGUUCCAAGAAAAAAUAACAAGGCAAACUUCUGCAUGUAAAUUCUCUAAUAAAAAUAAAUUGAUGAUCUGAACAAUUGAGUUUCAAUAUAGUGAUAUUUCAGUGUAUCAAUUUUCUUACAUCUUAGUUUGUAAGCAAAUUAGGACUGAUUAGUACGUAACGUGAUGAAGGAGCCAUUUCCACCCUCUAACAGCUGUUUCCUUUUGACACAGACCCAGAGUGCAUGAAACAGCCUCAAGGUCAUGCAUUCACUUCUAAACUGUUUACGUUCCAGCAAUGAAGAAAGAAGAACGAAGAAUGAACUCUUUUCUUUUAAUUAAUCAAAGAACUCUAUUUUAAUAAAGCUAAUCCAUCAAAGUGUUAGUCAAUAAUAAGAUGUGACCGACCUGUGAAAUUAAAAUAUUAAUUACUUUAUUAUGAUCUUAGGAAAUAAGUCUAUGACUUUAAAGAAUUCCAACAGGACUCAUUUCACGUUGUGUUAAAAAGACAUAACACAUUCUUUCACUGAUCCAAUCAGAACUUUACGGAUCUGACGGUGCUUCUGACGGUGUUUGGUCAUUUUCAUUUGACAAUAAACCAUAACAUCCGAGGUAUAAAACAGAUGCCACGUCAGCUCUCACGCCAGUUCAAAGCGUUCCAGAGCAAGCGUCGGAGUGGCCAAUCCGACCUUUAACUCUUCAACCGAAAGAACCACGACAAGCUGAAAAAUCCAAUCGCUAUAACAACCAUCGGCAACAACAGCUCCUUUCAGAAUAAAAGCUCCACCGACCCAGGCUGGGUCUGAACAGAUGCCAAUAAAAGAGUUGUGUGCCGGAGGUAACUCAAGGCGGGUCUGGUCGGAACCGCGGCUUCUUCUACUUGCUCGGUUUCCAGAGAGGGUCCGCUGGGCCUCGGCAUUCCUGAUCUACAGAGGACUUCCACAAGGCAGGUAGACCCGGCUUGAUGGUGUCUCAUGCGGUUCUGAAACUAACCAAAGCUUAUUUCAAAACAUCUUCAGUUCCCGUCAGAACUAAUCGCUUCUUCAGAUUUGCUGGUUCUGAUUACAUCAUACGUCAUCCAUUCACCAUCUCAUCCAUUUUUAGUUACACUAUACACUUAGUUCUGAAGUCAGCCAAGUUUAAUUUGUUAGUAAUAAAAUUCUUAACUUUUAAACUUGACUCUCUAUUCUGUUGUCUGAGUGAAUACAUACCGGUUACAUAAUCUCUGCAUUAAAAAGAUCCCAUCUUCUGGUUUGAAUAAACCCCGAUCCGUAAGGCGGAUUUCAUAUUUCCUAUGGAAUCCCACGCCUUACAGCUCAUUAAAUAAAAAUGUAAGAACCUCUCAUUUUCCUGACAAGUAUUAAAGUUAUGCUUUUCUAUCUUUAAGCAUAUUGUGUUAAACCAAUGUCCUUGAGCUUGUACAGUUAUCUUUAUGUCCAACUGGUUAUUAUUUUGCAUUUCUUUCUCCAUGAUGCUCUUCAUACUUAACGCUUACUCUGUUGACAUCAAAAUGGAUUUUAAUAGUUUUUUUUGAAAGAAUGAAAUGUAGCAUCCAUUUUUAUUAUAUAUUAUACAGUAUUUAAAGUUUCAGCUCAUUAACAAACUGGCGCACUCCACACCCCUGAAGGAUGUCUUUUACCCCCCACCAGCGUGCAGUCAGGCUCCUCUAGCCACAGGCUUUACUUGAUCUCUUUUCUUUUCUCCUAAGUCAAAAUUGGAAUAUUGGGGAAUAUUUAUUUACUUGUUGAUAUAUUUUUGCUCAGAAAAGAACAGCACAAUUUCUUUGUGUCCAAGACAAGCAGCAUAACAGAUCAUAGAAAGGGAACCUGGGUUUGGUAAUUUGGUGUGUUACAUAUACUGUAUGCUUUAAUCAUAGCUGAAGACUGGGUAAUUAAAUAAUAUCAUUAAAUAAAUCAGUAAUUUCCAGAAAAAUAAGUUAAUAAUUGAAGAUUCUUGUAUGUUUAAUUGAAAACAGUUAUUAAAAUGUUUCAGAUCUUUGAUUUGUGUGUAUUUUUUGUUUUUAUCUGGUUUGAACUGCACACAGACCAGUUUAGUGGCCCCUUUCUUUUUUACUAUAUAAUAUAUAUUUAUUUGGUUUGACAUUGUCUUGCUGAAAUAAACAGCACCUUACUUCUAAAAGAGUCUGGAUUGGAAUAUGUUUAUUCUAAAUUAUAAUUAAAUCUUAUUGUGUUGUACUAAUCCAAGGAUGUAGCAACACAUUGAUAUCAUUGACAAUGAUUUUAAAAAAUAUAUAAAACUUGAUUUUUUUUCUGUUUCAUAUUGUUUUUAUCCCACAACAUUACAAUACUCAUAUUUUGUCCCAGUUUAAAUGUCAGCUUUGUGUGAGCAUUCACAAUCAGAAAUGAUCUAUCAUAAUGCAUUAAUUUCUUCUUAAUGGUUUUAAUAAUUUGCAAACAUUUUUAUGAUAUACAUCUCAUGUUCGCAUGUCUGCUUUUUUGAAAGCCAGAUUGUAUUUUAUACAUAAAGAGUGUUCUUUUUUGCAUCCUGCCUGCCUGCCUUUAUGCUAUUUGAUCGCCCUGUUCCUUACUUGCACAAUAAGCAGCAUCCUGCCCACCAAAUCAGCUCCAGAUUGAGGAUUUACAUUAAAUACACUCGCCCUGAUGCUGCAUGCAAACACAAAAAUGGAAUAAAUCAAUUUUGUUCUCAGAAAAUGUUUCACAUGCUUUUCUGAUGCUGCGUGAUCUCCAAUCUUUCUGCAAAUGAGCUGCCGAGCCUUGUAAUGGUUUCUGCUCCUCACGGGAGGCUGGCGUCUCAGAAAAGCUGCUGAUUGAGGAAGAAAUGUAAUACAGGUGUAAAGCAGACUU